UACGUAGGGGGCAAGCGUUGUCCGGAUUUACUGGGCGUAAAGGAUGCGUAGGCGGACAUUUAAGUCAGAUGUGAAAUACCCGAGCUUAACUUGGGUGCUGCAUUUGAAACUGGGUGUCUAGAGUGCAGGAGAGGUAAGUGGAAUUCCUAGUGUAGCGGUGAAAUGCGUAGAGAUUAGGAAGAACACCAGUGGCGAAGGCGACUUACUGGAAUGUAACUGACGCUGAGGCAUGAAAGCGUGGGGAGCAAACAGG
rnacentral:rRNA from 1 species